GCACCGGUGGUGUACGGUACACCCGUCGAAUUAUACAGGAUGUAUAUAAUUGUAAGACGAAGAGCGGGGUUCGAAUCCCCGCCGGUGCA